AGUGAACGCUGGCGGUAGGCCUAACACAUGCAAGUCGAACGGCAGCACAGUAAGAGCUUGCUCUUACGGGUGGCGAGUGGCGGACGGGUGAGGAAUACAUCGGAAUCUACUUUUUCGUGGGGGAUAACGUAGGGAAACUUACGCUAAUACCGCAUACGACCUACGGGUGAAAGCAGGGGAUCUUCGGACCUUGCGCGAUUGAAUGAGCCGAUGUCGGAUUAGCUAGUUGGCGGGGUAAAGGCCCACCAAGGCGACGAUCCGUAGCUGGUCUGAGAGGAUGAUCAGCCCCAACGGAACUGAGACAAGGUCCAAGCCCCCUAGGGAGGGCAGAGGGGGGAAUAAUUGACAAAGGGGGGAAGCCUGGUCCAGCCAAUACGGGUGGGUGGAAGAAGGCCUUCGGUUUGAAAGCCCUUUUGUUGGGAAAGAAAAGCAGCAGGUUAAUACCCCGCUGUUCUGACGGUACCCAAAGAAUAAGCACCGGCUAACUUCGUG
rnacentral:rRNA from 1 species